rnacentral:rRNA from 1 species
AUGGUGGGGCUGGACAAAAGUGGUAGUUUUACUUACUUGCUUGAACGGAUCAUUGAAAGACUUAAGGGAUGGAAGGAGAAGUUACUUUCCACAGGUGCAAAGGAAAUUCUUUUGAAGUCAGUAAUCCAGUCAAUCCCAGUAUUUGCCAUGGCUGUUUUUAAGAUCAAGAAUUGCAAAGAGAUGAAUGAUGCUAUGUCUGCCUUUUGGUGGGGAGAUUCUGAGGAUGACAAGAAGAUGCAUUGGUUUUCUUGGUGGAGAUUGUGUAUUCCAAAAAAGCUCGGAGGAAUGGGAUUUCGAGAUCUAUUUUCUUUUAACAUGUCUAUGCUCUCAAAGCAGACAUGGAGAUUAUUAAACCCUGAUUCACUUUGUGCCCAAGUCUUGAGAGCAAAAUAUUAUCCUGAUGGGAAAUUGUUAAAUGCAGGUCCAAAAAAGGUUCUUCCUACACUUGGCAGAGCAUUUUUGCUGGACUGCAAACUUUUAGGCGUGGACACAUUUGGAGAGUGGGCUCGGGAGAAAGAAUUAACAUUUGGGAGGACCACUGGAUCCCAACAAUAG